rnacentral:rRNA from 1 species
GACCUGGCUGGGUGGUCUUGCCGCAAGGUAAGCACUGCUCUGGUCGGGUCUUUCCUUCUGGGGAACCUGGGUGCUCUUAAGUGAGUGCCCAGGGGAUCCAGGACUUUUACUUUGAAAAAAUUAGAGUGUUCAAAGCAGGCAUUUUCGCUUGAAUACAUUAGCAUGGAAUAAUGGAAUAGG